rnacentral:rRNA from 1 species
UACGUAGGGGGCAAGCGUUGUCCGGAAUCAUUGGGCGUAAAGGGCUCGUAGGCGGUUUGUCGCGUCGGGAGUGAAAACCUCGGGCUUAACUCGGGGCUUGCUUUCGAUACGGGCAGACUGGAGGUAUGCAGGGGAGAACGGGAUUCCUGGUGUAGCGGUGAAAUGCGCAGAUAUCAGGAGGAACACCGGUGGCGAAGGCGGUUCUCUGGGCAUGACCUGACGCUGAGACGCGAAAGCGUGGGGAGCAAACAGG